GAUUAAUAUUGGUACUGCUGAUCAAGCCUGGGAUCAGCCCAGAUGAUGAUGAUGAUGAUGAUGAUGAUGACGACGAUGAAACCUUCGCCACUGUAGAUGCCUUGUUGGACCUAAUAAGAAACACGGUGCCACAAAAUCUUGUCACGGCUAGCUUUCAACGGUACAAGACUCAGAAGGUGAAGUUUGAAAUUGAAGCAGCGGAUCACAAUUCUAGCCUGGCAGUG